AUUGAACGCUGGCGGCAGGCUUAACACAUGCAAGUCGAGCGGAGAUGAGGUGCUUGCACCUUAUCUUAGCGGCGGACGGGUGAGUAAUGCUUAGGAAUCUGCCUAUUAGUGGGGGACGACAUUCCGAAAGGAAUGCUAAUACCGCAUACGUCCUACGGGAGAAAGCAGGGGAUCUUCGGACCUUGCGCUAAUAGAUGAGCCUCAGUCGGAUUAGCUAGUGGGUGGGGUAAAGGCCUACCAAGGCGACGAUCUGUAGCGGGUCUGAGAGGUUGAUCCGCCACACUGGUACUGGGACACGGCCCAGGCUCCUACGGGAGGCAGCAGUGGGGAAUAUUGGACAAUGGGGGGAACCCUGAUCCAGCCAUGCCGCGUGUGUGAAGAAGGCCUUAUGGUUGUAAAGCACUUUAAGCGAGGAGGAGGCUACUGAGACUAAUACUCUUGGAUAGUGGACGUUACUCGCAGAAUAAGCACCGGCUAACUCUGUGCCAGCCGCCGCAGUAACAC
rnacentral:rRNA from 1 species